rnacentral:rRNA from 1 species
CUACGGGUGGCAGCAGUGAGGAAUAUUGCACAAUGGGGGGAACCCUGAUGCAGCAACGCCGCGUGGAGGAUGACGCAUUUCGGUGUGUAAACUCCUUUUAUAUGUCAAGAAAAUGACGGUAGCAUAUGAACAAGCACCGGCUAACUCCGUGCCAGCAGCCGCGGUAAUACGGAGGGUGCAAGCGUUACUCGGAAUCACUGGGCGUAAAGGACGCGUAGGCGGGUUGGAAAGUCAGGUGUGAAAUCCUACAGCUUAACUGUAGAACUGCACUUGAAACUUCUAAUCUAGAGUAUGGGAGGGGGAGAUGGAAUUAGUGGUGUAGAGGUAAAAUCCGUAGAUAUCACUAGGAAUACCUAAAGCGAAGGCGAUCUCCUGGAACAUUACUGACGCUAAGGCGUGAAAGCGUGGGGAGCAAACAGGAUUAGAUACCCGGGUAGUC